UUGCAUGUAGCUUAGUCUGGUAGAGCACUUAGCUGUUAACUAAGGGGUCGCUGGUUCGAAUCCAGCCGUGCAAGCCA
rnacentral:tRNA from 1 species